rnacentral:lncRNA from 1 species
UUUGCACUCACUGAAACUUUACUUUAGUAGGUAAGAAUCUAUAGUUUAAAAAAAAAUUCACAUAUGAGGCCUGUGAAGCAAAUAAAGCAAUAAUGUGGUGGUUUUCAUGGACAUUAUGUCUUUCACUACCCGUCCCUCUUUUUGUUGUAAACUCUCUAAGGCAAGUAUAACCUCAUCUAUACAUUAGUAUUUAUUUACCACAAGGACCCAUAAGUAUUUAUUGAUAUAUCUUCCUAAGUAUGUGAUAAUAUUCUAAAUAGAUAGUAGAUUUAAUCAUUGGGAUUUAUGUGAAGUUGGAUUAAAUAGAUAACAUGAUAAUUACAUUUAGUAUUGCAUGGAAGGACACAUUUUCUCACUUAUAGAAGCCUAAACAAAUGUCACAAUGUUGAUAGAUUCCUUUAUAGGAUGUUAACUCUGAAGCUGUCGUGAAAAUGUGUGAACUAGUUUCACUUUCAACUUGAUCCUUUUGGAAUCAUGACAGAUUUUGCUAGCCCUUAAUUCUUCUGCAAUCUUUGUUGAUCCCUCCUAUUUCAAUCUCAUAAGACACUUAUCUCUCCUCCAGAAAGAUCUGAAGGGUUAAGUCACCUAUUUAUACCUAAUUACAGUGAGCCCUGUGUUGGAUUUUUAAGGGAUAAAAGGAAGUAUCAGAUCUCAGUUAACUUAUGUACUGUCUACAGUGCCUAACAAUGACACAGGAUGACUCAGUUAAGGAGAAAAAUACUCCAUUUAUCAGCACAGAAUUCUUCCCUUUAAGCUAUCAUAUGGUAGCUAACCUUGCCUAACCUUGCGAGUUUAACCUUGCUUUUUACGUGCAUGCACGCGUGUGUGUGUGUGUGUGUGUGUGUGUUACUAAUUUCUAACUGUACCAGCUCCUGAAUUAAUAUUUGGCAACAUCAAUAUUCCUUGUAUAAUGAAGAAGCAUGGUCCAAGAGACUUGGAUGUGACCUCUCUAAACAUCAACUUACAGCUGCAAAAUAAGGAAUAAGUUGUAAUUAUUCCUUAUUUGUAACAACUACCUUACAGUGUUGUUUUGAAGAUUAGAAGAGAAUAUAUAGAUGAAGUACCCAGUGGACAUUUGUGCUGGGCUGACACAAAGGCCUCAGUUAACACCAAAUACAACUUCCAUAGACUUCAAGUUUCCCUCAUAUUUUUCCUGGGUCACUAUUCCAGAGUUGAGAAACUGAACUACAUCUAAUAUUUUAUUAAAAUAAAAUUGAAGAUUAUUAGAAAAGUUUAUUAGUCAAUAGUAAAACGUUAUUUGGUUAGCUUUCUUAAACAAUGGCAUUUAUAGAUAUCUGAUUAUCCCAACAAAAAUCUUCAAAUGGUUCAUGGACGCUUUGUCAAGCUUUUGUGCCACCUGAGAGAAAAAAAGAUAAAUGGGGAGGUAUAAUGUUAAUUUUGUAGCCUUUGCUUAAUGUUUAUUUUUGAAAUGCCUAUCAUUUUCUAUCAGUAUCUGAAACUCCAUGGAUUUCUAUUAGCCUUCACCAAUAAUUACAUUUGAAAGCAUCCAGAAGAGACAAUCCUUACCACAGUCUCUUUUAAACUCUUAAUGGCUGUCACAAAAUUCUAUUUUUCAUUUUCUCUAAGAGCAUUCUAUUAAACUGUUCCUAGUUAUUAGCUUUCAUAAAGGCACACAGAAAAUGUUUCCUCUACAGCCACAAAUAUUCCUAAAGCAGAAUCAUAGUAAAACAGCUGUGAUAAUGUUUUAUUCAUUCCAGAAUCCUAAUGAUUGAACAAAAGAGAGACAGUCUUAAGAGUUAACAUCUAUUGAGUCCGUGACUGCGUGCAUUGUUCUUUCAAGUAUUUUACCUGCACUAUUUAAUGUAAUUCUCCCAGCCACUCUGAUUUCACUCAUUUUACAAUUGAGGAGACUGAGGCAUAGAAAACUAAAGCAAUUUGGCUGGAGUAAGGGCCAGGUUGGGACUUAUACCUUGGCGGUCUGCCUACAAGGUGUUCCUCACCACCAUCUGACACUGCUUUCUCUGUGUAGCCCAGAGUGUCAGCCUCAGUGCUUCAACUUGAGCUUUCAGGAUCUAUUUAAAGAUGGAAAAUAUAGUUACAUUAUGUCACCAUUUGAGAUGCAGAAAGACAGGGCCACCAUUUUGCACAAUUCUGAAAGCACAAUUCAUGCUGUGGUUUGUAAAAAUGGUACUCCCUAGAGUUGGGCAAUGGACAGCUCACACAGAGAUGCAGUGGCCCUGCUAAACUAAUGCCUUACAUAAAAGAGUUUUACUCUUCAUUCCCUUAAAUGAUUCUUAGUAACACUGGCUGACACACACACAAAACAGUUUCUAAGUAGGUCUGUCCGCAUACUAUGAUCACUGGUCAACAUUAAGUUUCCACAAUUAAUUUUACAUAAUCCAAAGACUGCCAAGCAGUUUAUCUGGGUAAACUAAACAUUCUGUAGUCAUUUAUUCUGCUUCCAGUCAUGCCCAGCAACAGGUUGAGAAGACAAAUGUUCUCAGAAAUGAUCUCCAAGGAGUUGGGAGCAGGCUGCUUAUACGUCUAAUUCACCAGAAUAGGUGAGCGUGGUCGUGGUGACCUUUUCAUACUGUUGCAGAGCUGAGUAUGAAGAGAUGACUCACAGUCCUCCAAUGCAACACAGGUGACCCUGCAGCCAGAUUUUGCCUUCAGUGGUAUGUGACUCCCAUGGGGUCAGGAGAGUAUCUCAGACAUUGAAAUUUGACCUAAUGGCCUACCUACCUGCACACGCACCCUGCCCACUUACAGAAGGGCAAGAACUCUGCAUUACUGAGGCCUUGUUAUUAUUAUAGUUCCUAUUUAGGUAAGAACGCAAUGGAGAAAAAAUGCAUUUGGUUAUUGGGCCUCUGUUUGAAUAUCCUGUGCUUUUUGCCAAACAAUGCAUUCUACAUAAUCUUAAAAAACAAAGUCCAUUUCAAAGAACAAAAAUAAUGACCAUAUCCACUGAGCAAUUGAGCAGAAUGGGAAUCGGAGUUUUAAACUCUGAUAUAUCUGUUUUCCUUAGGGCUGAAAUCUUCUUUUCAUGGUUCUAGUUUCUCUAAUUGAAAUAAGAACCUAACCCUGUUCAAAACUACAUCUCUGGGAAUGAGUGAAAAAUUAAUGAUCCUCCUAUUUUGUUGGAUCAUAAUAAUGACUCUCAUCCUGGUGGGGCCACCAGCAAUGCUAUUCUUCUCAGACUCUAUCUUAGUUCCUAAGCCACUCACCAGGUAUUUAAAAGAAUGAUUUAACACAACUAGAAUCAUUUAAAUAACUGUAUUUUUUAAGAAAGCCAUAUUAUUGCUUUAGUUUGGUCAUUCAUAUAUCCAAACCUUGGACUCAUCAUCUUGCAAUCUCAUGUGUUCAGUUAUUCCAGAGAAAACAUUAAGGAGAAUUGUAUUCUUCUUCCCAGCUAAAUUUUAGGUCCUCAAAGCUGGCAACCACAAUUUAUGCUUUCUAAAAAUCAUCUAUGAUACUAAGUAUGAGCUGGAUCAUGAAUAAAACCCUUGUAACAAUAAAUGCUUGAUGACUUACUUCAUCUCAUUAGCAAGGGAAGGUAACUCAUAAUUAUCAAGGUACUACAGGAAAUAGGGCACUAUCUGGAAAUGCUAAAUACAUCUCCUUGCAUGAAUCACUUCUUACCAGAAUUCCCUUUCUUUCCAGAUCCCACCUCCAGGGUUCUGUGGUCCAUACCAGGCACUACAUUCCUCAGGGGCUACAGCCUAUGAGCGUCUCAUGGGGCUAUGAAACCAUUUGAGACCUGGAAAAUGAAGUAAUUGAAUACAAACAGAAAACUGCAAAAUGAGGACUAACAUUUAAUUAAAUGUUCAAAGCAUAAGAUUAUGUCGACUUCAAUAAUUGUCAAAUGAGUAUUCUUAACAUUUUACUAAAUUAAAAAAACUUAUGUGCUGAG